GUAGCUGUUCUGAACUCUUCUUCCAUUCCAUGCUCUGAGGGUGGGAAGUGGAGGGACGGGGAGCUGAAGAAGUGGAAUGAGAUGCACAACAAUGCGGUGGAGAAGAGGAAGCCUCCCUGACUGCCUUGUGUCUCAGAAUUUCUAAAGCUGCUCCUCCCUGCCACGAUGUGUCCUAUCUCAUCCUCUCAUUGCACCAUGGAUUGUUAAGAUCCAGCCCUCAGCACAGCAGAUGAGGAGACUUCAGAGCAGAUGGGGGCUGUGCCUGUGGCAGUCUCCUCCCACAAAGGGGGCCAGAUGGAAAUCCUGGCCCACCGUCUCCCUGGAAAGAACUGCACCUCAGGAGGU
rnacentral:lncRNA from 1 species